CACGUAGGCACCAAGCGUUGUCCGGAUUUAUUGGGCGUAAAGAGCUCGUAGGCGGUUGAGUAAGUCGGGUGUGAAAACUCUGGGCUUAACCCAGAGCCGCCACUCGAUACUGCUCUGACUUGAGUACGGUAGGGGAGCAGGGAAUUCCUAGUGCAGCGGUGAAAUGCGCAGAUAUUAGGAGGAACACCGGUGGCGAAGGCGCUGCUCUGGGCCGAAACUGACGCUGAGGAGCGAAAGCGUGGGUAGCAAACAGG
rnacentral:rRNA from 1 species